AUUGAACGGUGGCGGCACGCCUAAUACAUGCAAGUUUGGGCGAGAAAGCACUUCGGUGCGAGUACAGUGGCGGACGGGUGAGUAACGCGUAGGAAUCUACCUAGUAGUGGGGGACAACUCGAGGAAACUCGAGCUAAUACCGCAUACGCUCUUAGGAGGAAAGUGGGGGAUCUUCGGACCUCACGCUAUUAGAGGAGCCUGCGUUAGAUUAGCUUGUUGGUGAGGUAAAGGCUCACCAAGGCGACGAUCUAUAGCUGGUCUGAGAGGACGAUCAGCCACACUGGAACUGAGACACGGUCCAGACUCCUACGGGAGGCAGCAGUAGGGAAUCUUGGGCAAUGGGCGAAAGCCUGACCCAGCGAUGCCGCGUGUGCGAAGAAGGCCUUAGGGUUGUAAAGCACUUUCAGUCGUGAAGAAAAGCUACGAUUUAAUAUGUCGUGGUCUUGACGUUAGCGACAGAAGAAGUACCGGCUAACUCCGUGCCAGCAGCCGCGGUAAUACGGAGGGUACGAACGUUAAUCGGAAUUACUGGGCGUAAAGCGCGCGUAGGCGGUUUGAUAAGUGGGAUGUGAAAGCCCCGGGCUCAACCUGGGAACUGCAUUCCAAACUGUCAAACUAGAGUGUGGUAGAGGGCGGUAGAAUUUCCUGUGUAGCGGUGAAAUGCGUAGAUAUAGGAAGGAACACCGAUGGCGAAGGCAGCCGCCUGGACCAACACUGACGCUGA
rnacentral:rRNA from 1 species